AUUGAACGCUGGCGGAAUGCUUUACACAUGCAAGUCGAACGGCAGCACGGACUUCGGUCUGGUGGCGAGUGGCGAACGGGUGAGUAAUGUAUCGGAACGUUCCCAGUCGUGGGGGAUAACGUAGUGAAAAUUACGCUAAUACCGCAUACGAUCUAUGGAUGAAAGUGGGGGAUCGCAAGACCUCGCGCGAUUGGAGCGGCCGAUAUCAGAUUAGGUAGUUGGUGGGGUAAAGGCCCACCAAGCCAACGAUCUGUAGCUGGUCGGAGAGGACGACCAGCCACACUGGAACUGAGACACGGUCCAGACUCCUACGGGAGGCAGCGGUGGGGAAUUUUGGACAAUGGGCGAAAGCCUGAUCCAGCCAUUCCGCGUGCAGGAUGAAGGCCCUCGGGUUGUAAACUGCUUUUGUACAGAACGAAAAGGUUUCUACUAAUACUAGGAGCUCAUGACGGUACUGUAAGAAUAAGCACCGGCUAACUACGUGCCAGCCGCCGCGGUAA
rnacentral:rRNA from 1 species